AGUGAUCUGUUUUCCUUGGAUCACCAGUUUCAUAUAUGAAUAGAACAAUUGACAUGCAUGAGAUGUUUGACAAAACUUUAUCUAAUUUGGUAAAGAAUUAGCAAGAAUUAGGUUAAUCAAAUUACUUUAAAUUUAAUUUCAUGAUUCUUGUGUAUACAACAAACGAUAAAUGUUUGAAAAGAUUCCUCAUUAAAAAAAAAAUCCCAACAGUGUUGGAAUUCACACUACACAUAGAAUGUAACAGAAAAUGCAAUAGAACCAAGAAUUAAAAGAAAAAGAAGAAUACCCAAAACAACUGUCUGAUAACAGCUGAAUAAUCAAAUUAACUUCAAAAAAAAGAGGAAUAACAAAGAAAGAAAGAGAGAUACUGACUUGGGUCACGAACGGUGGCUUU
rnacentral:misc_RNA from 1 species